UGGGGACGUUGCCGGGGCCCUGCGUUGCCCAGAGGUGCCACCUCUUUGAGCUGCAGCCGGGCGAGAAGAUCCGCAAGAUGAAGAAGCUGCGGAGAACUUGGUCGAGAGUUUCAGCCGCAUUGCUUUGAAGAAAGGAAGAUGACCAUCUUUUACUGCCCAACGACAUCUUUCUACCAAUGUGAACAGAGACUAGCAGCACAGUGAUCACCUGCAGAUAGACCUGGCUUUAUCUGUACAUAACACCAAAAGAAAGAACCUGGAUUCCACAAGGAAAUAAAGAUUUUCAGUCCCUGCAAGAAUUC
rnacentral:lncRNA from 1 species